ACGCGAAGAACCUUACCAGGUCUUGACAUCCUGAUGACCGGAGAGUAACGUCUCCUUUCCUUCGGGACAUCAGUGACAGGUGGUGCAUGGUUGUCGUCAGCUCGUGUCGUGAGAUGUUGGGUUAAGUCCCGCAACGAGCGCAACCCCUAUUUUCAGUAGCCAGCGGUCCGGCCGGGCACUCUGGAGAGACUGCCAGGGAUAACCUGGAGGAAGGUGGGGAUGACGUCAAAUCAUCAUGCCCCUUAUGAUCUGGGCUACACACGUGCUACAAUGGUGGUAACAAAGUGAGGCGAACCCGUGAGGGGGAGCGAAUCCCAGAAAAGCCGUCUCAGUUCGGAUUGUAGUCUGCAACUCGCACUACAAUGAAAGUCC
rnacentral:rRNA from 1 species